UACGAAGGGUGCAAGCGUUACUCGGAAUUACUGGGCGUAAAGGGCGCGUAGGCGGCCUUCUAAGUCGAACGUGAAAUCCCCGGGCUCAACCCGGGAACUGCGUCCGAUACUGGAAGGCUUGAAUCCGGGAGAGGGAUGCGGAAUUCCAGGUGUAGCGGUGAAAUGCGUAGAUAUCUGGAGGAACACCGGUGGCGAAGGCGGCAUCCUGGACCGACACUGACGCUGAGGAGCGAAAGCCAGGGGAGCAAACGGG
rnacentral:rRNA from 1 species